UUUCGUCCCGUCCGGUCUGCGGUCGGCUGCGGGUCUCGUGCGAUGUGACCCGUGAACCCUGUCAGGUCCGGAAGGAAGCAGCAGUAAGCGGUCAAUCACAGGUGCCGCGAGGGUGCCUGUAUCCGAUCGCAGACCGGACGGGACGA
rnacentral:SRP_RNA from 1 species